rnacentral:rRNA from 1 species
CGCGAACGGGUGAGUAACACGUGGGUAACCUACCCCGAUGACCGGGACAACCCGAGGAAACUCGGGCUAAUACCGGAUGUGUCCCAUGUUCACGAGGACAUGGUGCAAAGGUAGCUUCGGCCUCCGCAUCGGGAUGGGCCCGCGGCCAUUAGCUUGUUGGUGGGGUAACGGCCUACCAAGGCUGCGAUGGGUAGCUGGUCUGAGAGGGCGGACGGACACACUGGGACUGAGACACGGCCCAGACUCCUACGGGAGGCAGCAGUGGGGAAUUGUGCACAAUGGGCGCAAGCCUGAUGACGCAACGCCGCGUGGAGGAUGAAGGUCUUCGGAUUGUAAACUCCUGUUGCUCGGGACGAAAAGCUUUGACCUAACACGUCAGAGUCUGACGGUACCGAGUGAGGAAGCCCCGGCUAACUCUGUGCCAGCCGCCGCGG